CAUUAAGGAGAGGCAAGACCGUCAACAAGAAUCGCUUAGUUGUAAAAGCUUCUACACAGGAAAAGAAGGCAACAGACAUGAAGGAUGGAGUCUCCCAGGCAUGGAAUGGCAUUCAAAGAACUGAUUCAAGCCUCACUAAUGGAGGUAACAUUGUCAUGAACUUUGAUAAUGAGAACACAAGGGCUGAGGCUGCUCAAAAACUGCUGGAGUCUGUUGAGCAAAUUAGUACCAAGAGUGUUGGAAAGAUGAACCCAAAGAUGCAAUGUGCAUAAAGAGGAGACCAAGGAAGAGAUAUAGGAGACCAUCUUAGACCGCAAUGAGUUCUUACACACAAUUGAGGGUGUUGAGGAUAACACUGAGCUGAUCUUUAGCAAGCCUGCGGCUGGCGGCACGAGGCGCUACAUUUUGAGGUGUGACCCAACUGUGAGAGAGCUGAGUCACAAGACAAGCUAAAAUUAGAAUGGGGAAUAUACACAGUGAGAGACAGACACCAUGCAAUGAUAUGCUAUCGUUGUCAGGGAUACGGCCAUCUUGAGGCCAACUGUACUGCCCAGACCAAUGGAGACGCCCCAGAUUGUUUCAAAUGCGCUGGCAAUCAUAAAUCCCAGGAGUGCGCCAUGGCUGAGAAGAAAUGCAUAAGCUGUGUGAGGGACAUGUUCCUCCAGUAUCUCUCUUUGGUGCCGUUAUCUGACCUAAUCUGCGGGAUCAGAGUGCAGGGUCUUCUUAUCAGCACCGCCCGACGGUGUCGUGCGUGGCACAAUAGCAGUGGCCCAGACACUCGCGGCGUGAUAUUUAGCACGACACCGCCUCAUAGCCACCAGUGACCGACUCCAGCAUAGCCGAGGCGCGCCCUCCUGAAGACCUGACAGACACCACCGCGGCGAGGGGCGCUGCGUCACCACCACCGCGGCCAGCAGGAGGUUGUCAGGCCACCACCACCACCACCACCACCGCGGCCAGCAGGAGGUUGUCAGGCCACCACCACCACCACCACCACCGCGGCCAGCAGGAGGUUGUCAGGCCACCACCACCACCACCACCACCACCGCGGCCAGCAGGAGGUUGUCAGGCCACCACCACCACCACCACCACCGCGGCCAGCAGGAGGUUGUCAGGCCACCACCACCACCACCGCGGCCAGCAGGAGGUUGUCAGGCCACCACCACCACCACCACCACCGCGGCCAGCAGGAGGUUGUCAGGCCACCACCACCACCACCACCACCGCGGCCAGCAGGAGGUUGUCAGGCCACCACCACCACCACCACUACCACCAGCACCACCACCAGCAGCAACGGCAUGGCGUCUGCAGGGAAGGGGCCGGGUGACAACCCCGAGGAGUGUCCAGUGUGCCUGACAGGCUUUGAUGACUUAGUACAGCGGCCACGCACUCUGCCCUGUGGCCACACAGUCUGUACAGUGUGCACAGAUAAGCUGAAGGAGCAGGGCCGUGUUACCUGUCCGGAGUGCCGCGUCACCCAUGCCGUGCCCGAGGGCGGGCAGUUCCCUGUCAGCUAUACAAUUGAGGCCUUCAUAAGAAGGCUGAGAGACGGCAAGGCGGCGGAGGCCUCGCCGCCACCCAGUGCCGGGAAGGGGAAAGGGGCAGCAGGAUCAGCUGGCAAGAAGGGAGCAGCGGGUCUCUCCAAGAAAAUGCGUUCCUUUCUGCAGGAACAGGAGGCCACAGUUGUGGCCGCCAUCACCGCCUGCCAGGAGGCUCAGUCCCAGCUGGACCAGUAUGAGGCCACCCUGACUGGCUGGGUCGAGCGGCAGCAGCAGCUGGAGGACAGCCUCCAGGGACUGAUGGACCAGAGCAGGUGUUCCAGGGAGCUCCUGCAGCAGGAAAAGUUCCGUGUGGCACCGAAGAGGAAGGAGGCGAAGAAGAAGGAGCAGGAGCUGCAGGCUGUGCGGGAGAAGUUGCGCACUCGUGCAACAGAGCAAGAGGCAUUCAAGAUGGUGGGUGAGGUGAUCCACAUCACCAGUGAGGCGGAGCAGGUGUUGGAGGAGUGCCAGCAGUGUUUCCCUGACGCCGGCAUCCUCACCACCGCCAGGAAGGUGAGAGAGGCAUCUAGUGCAGCCCUAGAGGCCGCCCAGGCUGUCCAGGCGGCUCUGGAAACUGUUUCUACAGAAGAACCUAGGCCCCAGUCAGUCCCAAAAGAACCCAAGCCCCAGUCAGUCCCAGAAGAACCCAGGCCCCAGUCAGUCCCAAAAGAACCCAGGCCCCAGUCAGACCCAGAAGAGCCCAGUUCCCAGUCAGACCCAGACCUCACCAUCAUGGAAAAAGUGCAGUUCAUCUUAGAGCCACCAAACUUGAAGGCCGAGGACUUCCGCAGUCUGACACAGCGCACCAGGAGCCUGCUGCAGGCUGGCCGGGUGUUUGCUGUGCACCAGGUGCAAGGUCAGCGCCGACGACACGCAAGAAUAAGCCUCGAAGCCGGCCGGCCGUGCCUCCAUGCCCUGGCGGACCAUCCCCUGACAGUGUGGGCGGCAACCCUGCAGGUCAGCCAGGUCGUGCCGCCCUCCCCCCCCUGCACGGUGUUCCUGGACCUGUCCUGGCCGGGCCGUGCGCCGCGCCGGGUCCACAUCCGUCUGAGCCCCGACACCCAGCGGGGCCGCCAGUUCCUGAUGCUGUGCACGGGGCAGCGCGGCCCCUCCUACCGCGGCACCAGGCUGUACGAGGUGUGGUACAAGGGGGAGCCGGGAGAGAGGGUGUGGGGCGGGGACUACAAGAGUAAUGAUGGUAAGGGGGAAUGUGUGCUGCUGCCUGGCCUUGAGGGGGGUGGGGACGGGAGGCCAUGGCGGGCAGGGGAUGUGUGGGGGUGGGGGAUGAAGGGUGUGUUUGCCAUCACCACCAGGGACGAUCAGGAUGUUGUGUUGCGUUGUGUCUUCGGUGAGGUGGUGGAGGGACUGCACGUGGUGGCCGAGGCAGCCCAACACAGCGACAUGAAGGAGGUGACUGUGGUGGACUGUGGCGUGGUGCUGUAAGGGUAUACUGGCCUGCACCACCACCACCACCACCACCACCACAACAUUAAGGAGGAAAUUGUGGUGGACUGUGUGGUGUUAAGGGUACUGGCCUGCACCACCACCACCACCACCAUCACCACAACAUUAUAGAGGAAAUUGUUGUGGACUUUGUGGUGUUGAGGGUACUGGCCUGCACCACCACCACCACCACCACCACAACAUUAUAGAGGAGAUUGUGGUUGUUUUCUUAAUGUAUUGUUGUUGUUUUUUAUUUCCUGUAACCUCAAGUUCAGUAUAAUGUGUUGGUCAGUUUCUUGUACUAUUGAGCAUGAUGUUUUGUACAGUACAGUAAUCCCUCCUUAUACACGGAGGUCAGGUUUCAAAUUAGACCGUGCAUUAAGAAAAAUCGUGUAUAACUACAUUAGACACUGGGAAAGGGCAGAAAAUUAAAGUUUACCCUCUUUUACUCAAAUUACUUAGUGUUCUUUUGCUGUGAAUUUCCCUUUUCUUCUAACACUUAAUUUUGAACGAGAACAUUAAUUAUUGUCCGUCAUCCAAGGCUUCAUUAAACCAGUGUUUCUCUACACACAAAGGAAACAGUGUCCGCGCUGGACCUGUUUGCUGCUUCGUGCUGUUAAGUGUGUGUGACCUUCACGGAUGGAAAAAAAUAUCAUUUAUGCAAUAAAAGGAAUUGAAACUGGA